rfam:Loxodonta africana unplaced genomic scaffold scaffold_14, whole genome shotgun sequence.
AGCCCCGUGGCUCAGUGGUUAAAGUACUUGGCUGAUAACCAAAAAGUUGGUGGUUCAAACCCACCAGCCGCUC